AUUGAACGCUGGCGGCAGGCUUAACACAUGCAAGUCGAGCGGGGGAAGGUAGCUUGCUACUGGACCUAGCGGCGGACGGGUGAGUAAUGCUUAGGAAUCUGCCUAUUAGUGGGGGACAACAUCUCGAAAGGGAUGCUAAUACCGCAUACGUCCUACGGGAGAAAGCAGGGGAUUUUCGGACCUUGCGCUACUAGAUGAGCCUAAGUCGGAUUAGCUAGUUGGUGGGGUAAAGGCCUACCAAGGCGACGAUCUGUAGCGGGUCUGAGAGGAUGAUCCGCCACACUGGGACUGAGACACGGCCCAGACUCCUACGGGAGGCAGCAGUGGGGAAUAUUGGACAAUGGGGGGAACCCUGAUCCAGCCAUGCCGCGUGUGUGAAGAAGGCCUUAUGGUUGUAAAGCACUUUAAGCGAGGAGGAGGCUACUCUAGUUAAUACCUAGGGAUAGUGGACGUUACUCGCAGAAUAAGCACCGGCUAACUCUGUGCCAGCAGCCGCGGUAA
rnacentral:rRNA from 1 species